rnacentral:lncRNA from 1 species
GGCUAAAUAAUACUAAUUUAAAAUUAUAUUAUGAACAACCAAAUUAAAAUUGAUAAACCAAAUUAACAUAAAUUAUCUAAAAUGAAAAUAACCAGUUAACAAUUGAAAUUACUUCCAAUAAAACAAGUAGGAGAUUAACUCACUUUGGUGUUCCUAAUUAACUUCAGAACUCGAUUUUUAUUGAGUUAGCUAUUAAUUAAUAGGUUAUUACCUCUUGACCUCUAACUAAUUAACUAAUCGACCAAUACACGCUUAC